ACAGUGAAGUCCACACAAUUCAGUUUCGGCAAAAAUGCUGUUGUCUCUCUCAGUUUCAAAGUUAUUAACCCUAAGAAGGUAUGCUUUCUCUCUUUCUUCCAUUCCCAAUUUUCUUCCGAUUUCUUCUUCAAACACUUUGCUUCUUUCAUUCUCUUCUCAUUCUCGUUUCAAUUCCAACGAAUUUGAUGUUAAUGAUGCUGUUUCCUCAUUCCAUCGCAUGCUCUGUAUGAAUCCUACUCCAUCCAUUGUUGAAUUCAACAGAAUUUUAACUUCUUUUGUUAAGAUGAAGCAUUAUCCCACUGCUAUUUCUCUUUCUCACCUGUUGGACUUCAACGGAAUUAAGCCUUGUAUGUUUACUUUUAACAUCUUGAUUAAUUGUUACUGCCACCUAGGUCAAAUGAAUUUUGCAUUUUCUAUAUUGGGAAAGAUUCUCAAGAUGGGAUUUCAGGAAGGUACCACCAUAACCUUGACUAUUCUUAUGAAAGGUCUAUGUCUUAACAAUAAGGUUCGGGAAGCUCUGCACUUUCAUGAUCAUGUGGUGGCAAAGGGAUUUCAGUUGAAUCAAGUUAGUUAUGGGACCUUGAUAAAUGGGUUGUGUAAAAUGGGGGAAACAAGACCCGCCCUGCAAUUGCUGAGACGAAUUGACAGGAAAUUGGUCAAUGCUGAUGUGGUAAUGUAUAGCACUAUCAUUGAUAGUUUGUGUAAAGAUAAAUCUAUAAACGAUGCCUACGAGUUGUAUGUUGAGAUGAUUGCAAAGAGAAUUUCUCCUGAUGUUAUCACUUUCAAUAAUCUAAUAUACGGAUUUUGUAUUGUUGGUCAAUUGAAAGAAGCAUUUGGUUUGUUCCGUAAAAUGGUGUUGAACGUCAACCCAGAUGUUUAUACUUUUAGUAUACUGGUUGAUGCCUUAUCCAAAGAAGGUAAGGUCAAAGAAGCUAUGAAUGUGUUGGCUAUGAUGAUAAAAGAUGGUGUAAAACCAGGUGUUGUAACUUAUGGUGCUUUGAUGGAUGGGUAUUGCUUAAUUAAUCAAGUAAACAGGGCCAUAAAAAUAUUCAACACUAUGGUGCACAAAGGAGUGGUGCCGAAUGUUUGGUGCUACAAUAUCAUUAUUAAUGGAUUGUGCAAGAAUAAAAUGGUGGACGAAGCCAUGAGCUUCUUUAAAGAAAUGCAUAACAAGAUGAUUGUUCCUGAUAUGGUAACUUAUGGUACCCUCAUUGAUGGUUUGUGUAAAUCGGGGAAAACCUCUUAUGCUUGGGAACUUGUUGAUGAGAUGCAUCAUAUAGGUGUUCAGCUUGAUGUCAUCACUUAUAGUUCUCUAUUACAUGCUUUAUGCGAAAAGAAUCACCUUGACCAGGCAAUUGCAUUGGUUAAGAAAAUGAAAGACCAAGGUAUUCAGCCAAAUAUUUUCACAUACACUAUAUUGAUUGAUGGACUAUGCAAAGGUGGAAGGCUUAAGAAUGCACAAGUGAUUUUUCAGGAGCUUUUGUCUAAAGGCUAUCAUCUAACUGUAUGCACUUAUAAUGCCAUGAUAAAUGGGCUUUGUAAUGGGGGCUUGUGUGAUGAAGCACUUGCCUUGUUUUCAAGAAUGGAAGACAAUGGUUGCAUUCCUAAUGCUGUAAGUUAUGAAACAAUUGUCAAUCAUCUUCUUCAAAAAGGUGAGAGAGAUACGGCAGAGAACCUUCUACAUGAAAUGAUUGUUAAAGGUCUACUAUAAGAGUAAAACUUGGUAAGAUACUUUCUAGUUAUACAUUGUAUUUUUCAACUUGUAAUCACUCUUGUUAAUUUUACAGUAGAUUGACAAUGGUGCGUCUGCCUCUGUGAAGAUAGAGUAGAGAGUAACUUCUCAAGUUAAGUGAAUUGUGGACUUUAUACUGUCAGUAAUAAGUACCUCGUGAAAUUCAAUUCUUCAUAUUAUUUAUAUAUUUCAUAUUCUUGAUGGCAUACACCAAAAUGGGGAAAAUUCUAUUGGUUAGAUGGUGGUAGCAUUGUAAUCUUAUAUUCUUACGUGCAUAUGUACUUAUUUAGUAAUUUAAAAUGAAUAUGGAUGUAAUACCUAUUAUUUUAUUAUAUAAAUGUGAAAUUUCUACAAGUUAAAUAACUUGGUUCUUCUUUAGUUUGAUAUUUAUUUUAUCCCAUCAAGUCCUCUUAUUAAAUUGAGCAUUUAAGCCCUAUACAUGGGACUUAUGUGUUGGCAAUAAUUCCUUAUUGGGUCUUUAUUUUAUGGGAAUGCUCCUAAUACUGUUUUGUUUCUAUAUGUUACUUUUAAUUUUAAUUCUACUUUUUCUGUUUUUCAGCACUUGUGUUACUUGCUAUUUAAAUUGUUUCAGUUCUGUUUAUUAGCUUUGAUUAGAAGCUUAUCCUGUUCCAAAAUGUUCUACUCUUCCUUCUGACUCAUUCUAUCCCUCCUUCUGAAUGUUUCUCUUCUUAGAUUCCCUCUCAACUUGAUUCUUAUCUUUCCAUUAGCAUAUGUAGGAGCAAGUGCCUCUGAGCUAUUACAUGUCAUAUUUGGCUAUUUUUUAGCAAAGCUGUUAAAAGGGCACCAAGUUUGGGAUACUAAAUUGUCAGGACCAGUGAGUAUUGUCUGAGUAUGUUGUGAGAUAAUAUGAACUAACAGAGGAGGUAAAUUACGCAGUACAUUCAAAAAGUCCUUCUCUACACAUUCAAAUAGUAAGUCUAUUGUCAAAGAAUGAGGGAUACUUAUGAAGCACCGACACUGGCACUUUGACAUCAAUUAUAUUUUGAGAAAAUGAAAAAGUGAUUGAACGGAACAAUAUAUGUCGAUGUUGUGUCGGUACCAGACACGUUAUUAAUCUGAAGUGUCAGUGCUACCUACUACAUACUAUCUUAUCCGUUAAAUUUAUGGGUUUCUUUAUUUUUCGAGAAAAAAACAAUUUCAGGAUAUCAUUAGAGUUGAAUGAACUUUGAUUUGGAAGAAAAUUCUAGAGAAAAGGAUGGGAGACGAUGUAUUGUAUUGAUUUGGAUUAUAAGAAAUAUGGCCUUGUCAAACAAUAUUGCAGAAGUGGCAUCCAGUUCUUUUCGCGGUCUAGUUGGUUCAAAAUGGAAUUCCUUCUAGGUUCAUGUUUCAAAAGUUUUGUGCUUGUAAGUCAUUUUGAAUUUUGAGUUCAAUGUAUGUUAAUCCAAACAAACAAUUUAACCUUCUAUUCUCUGUGGAUAUUUCCUGUGUUUGUAUCUUUAAAUAGAAUAAGGCUCGAUGGGAAGACAAAUUAUCAUUCUGUAAUUUUUUGUUGGUUUGGUUGAGAGAGACUAGUCUCUCUAAUUCCAGGAGAUUGUGUUAGUUUUCUUACAGUUAUUGGCUGAUUUUAUAGAGAGAUUGUUAUUCACAAUA